AUGCUCUCUUUUGGUGAUCACAAUAUGAUAUGGGGUAUCAAGACAUUAUCAUGGGAAUUUGAAAGCAAUUUAUCAUUCAUAUUUAUCAAACUUUCAUGGAAAAUCUCAAAUCACAUAUGCAUGGUUUCAACCAUUGAAGUAUAUAGGCAAACAAUUCCCAUGACAUAAAGAAAAAUGACUUAGAAAUCAUAUUGAAAGCAAGUUAUUAGCAUUUGAUUGAAAACCCCCAUUUAAAAGCAUGCAUGUUCAUA
rnacentral:lncRNA from 1 species